UGAUUGGCUGGGCCCAGAUCAUGUGCUCAUGCCUGCAGCCGAGGGAAGGCUGUGAUUGGCUGGGCCCUGGUCAUACGUUUAUGCAGCCAAGGGCAGGAUGUUGUGACUGACAAUCAUUCCAGAACCUCAUGGAAUGGGGGGUGGACGUGAGUCCGAUGAAUGAGGGGAACUGUGCAGACGCAGCCACUGCUUACCACUGCAUACACACCGAUACCUGAGUACUGAGAAGUACUGAGUAUAGAAGAAGAGCAGCUGAAAUUAGAAGUUAAAAGACUCUUAGGAAAUAGCCAAAAAAUGGAAGAAAGUUAAGUGAUUCUGCUCAAGACCAAUGUAAAAAUAGUAAAAAUGCUAAUACAUAGGCUGAGAAUAUAGGUGUCAGGAGAGAAAGUAUGUCAGGACAGAAGAUUAAAACAAAAGAUAUGUCAACCAAGGAAAAAUUCGCUACAAUUCAAACAGCAGCAGCAAUCUGAGCAGUUAGAAUUGCAGUUUGGGCGACACAGGUUCAGGCAGAGACCCAAAGUGUGUUCGGAGGAAGACAAAGGAGAGAAGGAUUUAUAAGGGCAAAAAGCAAUCAAUUACUCAGGUGGUUUGGCAAAAUUUGUGAUUGGUGCCGGUAACAACUGUUACCUCUUGGCUCUGUGUGCUUUGUUGCUAAGGCCAUCUCUGAGGCAAAAAGUUCUUGUCUAUGGGGAUAAGUAUAUUUCUUGAAAGACGUUCAAGAGGACGGCAGUGAAGCACGCUUUGAAAGUCACCUUCCAUCUGGGUAGAGACAUGGUGUGCACGCAGAAGCCUCAUUUCCUUCAUGGCCUCCCAGCUCCACUUUAGAAGCCUUGACAUACGUUACUCCAUUUUAUCAUUGCUCUCCACAGACAUAUGUUUAAAGAAUAAAAAGAAAGAGAGCUAAGAAAGAGGCAAAAAGGAAAAAAAAAUAUAGCAAUGAAUUAAAAAUGGAUGGGAAGAAGGAAUUGAAGAAAAGGAAAACUGGUAGGAAAUCCCAGGGUGUGAAGCAUUAAGAAGGAUUACCAGUGAUAAUAGAUCCUUUAGUAUAACGUAGAUUUGGUUUACAGCAAAGUUUUUAUUUCAUAGUGGAACGAUAGAUGGUAAUUUUUUCUUAAGUAAGUAGAAAAAAAUGCCUGAAGAAUAUGUGAAUGGCGUUGAAUGACUGAAGAUUAUCUGCUAGAAGCAGUUAAGGCCUGGGUUAAACUCACACUUAUUUGUGAAUGUGGUGACUCAGAUUCAUUGCAAAUGCGAAAAGGUAACUCUUAGGAAGUUACCCGGGGCCAAAGUAAUUUCCUUCACAGGCCAGCUUUCACAACACAGCAAGGUUUUUAACACUGUCAUUCUUGGCUGGAAAGGGAAAUCAGCUCCUUGAAAUGAGUUCAGUUUUGCUUUCUGGAUAAAAAGAAGCAAAAGAGAAAAUUACAAUAGGUUUUGAAAUCCAGAAAAAUGUAAGAAAGAAGUCUUUUUCAGAAAAUUUCUAUAAGCAGCACACAUUGAUUGCUGAUAUGACCUUGAUGAAUGUAGAUUGAAAUGAGUUAAUCAUUCCGUUGUGUGAUAAGAUCACUAGUUAGAGACGUCAUGCGAUUAAAUUAACUGCAAUAAUUCCUAAAAACAAAGGGAUUUAAAGGGCAGAAGUAUACCUGACCUCCUGUAAAAAGAAUGGCUUUGAAAGUGCCAUUGGAAAGUGUUGGUUGGGUGCAAAGCCCUUAGAGGUUUGAAUUUGAAACAGAAUCAACACAUUUCUAAGUUACAUGAGAUAGAGGUCAUCUGGAUCCUCAUAUCCAUGAAGAACUUCUAGAACAAAGUGGAAAGGGCAGAAAUGUGUAGGUGUAUCGGUCUGUCUAAGUCCAUUCCUGAGAACUGCAGAGGGAGACAGGCAAAUAAUUGCUUCUUUAAUAAUACCUUAAUAUUCUAUCAUUGUGAUGUUAAUCGCCUCUAUGGAUAUUGUUAAAAUGUAUUGACUAAACAUAUUUUACUUUUACUAAAAUGUCAGAGAGAAUAUACCUGAAAUGUAUAUAAGGAAUGAAAACAGAUAAGUCAGCCUGAAAAUGUCACUAUGUACAUUGUCUUGAGCAAUUUAAAAAUUUACAAGUCAAAUGCAGAGAGCUGCAUUGAGAGAUAUUUGUUCAUCCAGGUUGGGCAAAUACCACAGAAUGGAGAGCCAAAGGCCCAGGACAAGUUCCCAUCUCCACUGCUCACAGGUCUUGGGCAAGUUAGCCUGUCUGAACCUAUGCUUUCAUUUGGAACAUGGGGCUUUAUUCAAAACCCAAGCAUUUUUGAUUGCUACCUGUGGACACAGGGCUGUGGGAAUGGAGAGGCCUGGCCCGGGUUCCGCAGAAGCUUACAUUCUUUGAUGGAUGGUGAUAACGCUGAAAUCACAGGAUUGUUGAGAACAUGGCUAGAAGAGUGACAGUGCUUACUAAACGAUUAGAUUUUAUGCAAUCAUUAUUAUUAAAUAUAGUUAAUGAAUCAAGUGAUUCAUAGUUGGCUCAUGGGAAGACUCAUAGCAAUUAAAGCCAUUCAGUAGAUGUCAGAUAAGCUUCAUUGCCUCAGCAAGAUUUUAUACUAUUCUUCCCAACCUCUUCCUUUGUGAUACAUUACUGACUUGUUUAUUUAUAAUUCCCCUUCUCAACUCUGUCCCAAACACGUAUUGUGUCCACAGCAUAACAGUGAACAAGACAUUGGUUAUUCCCAGACUCAAUUCUCUCCCAGUGGAAUUAGGAGGAGGAGCCCUGUUUUAAAGAACCUUGGUGGGAGAAUUCUAACUGCUUCUUGAAGAGUGAUAUCAACAUUAUUAGUCCCAUAUCUGACCACCUGGACCAGAAUUGCUGAUGAGACACGGCAGUGUUCAGCAACAGGGAAGUAUUUGAACAAAAUGAAAUUCAUAUAUGAUGAAACUCUCCCUAGGCUUACGACUUUAGCUUUCUGUUUGAGACAUUCCCGGGGAACUCUAUUAUUUUGAGGUACUUCUCACAAGAGAGAGCUGGGGAGGACCCAACAGCUCUAAAAUCACUUGAGAAACAAAUGGCAUACUCUUGACUAAACUAUGUUAACCCCUUAUUCAAUGAGAGUGAAUGGAAAGUUCUGCACGUAAUGAAAUAAGAGCUGUGUUUGUGUUCUCCUUUGGUCCUCAGCUCCUGGCAAUCACAUAGUAGGGAUGAUAUUCUUCUUUAAGAAAAUUAACUAGGAGAUACGGCAGUUCCCUCUACUCUCAAUCAGGUUUUGCAAAUCCUUCUGAAUUUCCAGCGGUAACGAACCACACAAUGGGAGAUGCGCUGUGCUGCAGCAUAGCUCACAUGACUGGCCUCCAUUACACCUACCUCCAGGAGAGCCAAGUGAAGUGUUUAGAAAAGGAAGUGGAUAGCUGGAGUGCGCUCCUAGGAUGACAGGCACCGUGGGAGGCAUUACAGCAUAUAGGGGAAAUCCAUAAAACUUUUGACAUCAACAUUGAAAGAUAUAUUUGGCCUUAACUUUUCACAUAAAUGUCCUGCCAAUAUCAACAAGAAAAUGCUCGUUCCAUAAUUAAGUGGAAAUUUUCCAAU